UGUUCCCACCCAGGAUCGAACCGGGUACCUUGUGUGUGUGAAGCACACGUGAUAACCGCUACACGUUUGUAAC
rnacentral:tRNA from 1 species